GACGAACGCUGGCGGCGUGCUUAACACAUGCAAGUCGAACGGUGAAGCCCUUCGGGGUGGAUCAGUGGCGAACGGGUGAGUAACACGUGAGCAACCUGCCCCUGGCCCUGGGACAACCACUGGAAACGGUGGCUAAUACCGGAUACGACCCGCCUCGGCAUCGAGUGUGGGUGGAAAGUUUUUCGGCUGGGGAUGGGCUCGCGGCCUAUCAGCUCGUUGGUGAGGUGAAGGCUCACCAAGGCGACGACGGGUAGCCGGCCUGAGAGGGCGACCGGCCACACUGGGACUGAGAGACGGCCCAGACUCCUACGGGAGGCAGCAGUGGGGAAUAUUGCACAAUGGGCGAAAGCCUGAUGCAGCGACGCCGCGUGAGGGAUGACGGCCUUCGGGUUGUAAACCUCUUUCAGCUCCGAAGAAGCGAAAGUGACGGUAGGAGCAGAAGAAGCACCGGCUAACUACGUG
rnacentral:rRNA from 1 species